rnacentral:rRNA from 1 species
CCUACGGGUGGCAGCAGUGGGGGAUAUUGCACAAUGGGGGAAACCCUGAUGCAGCGACGCCGCGUGAGUGAAGAAGGAUUUCGGUAUGUAAAGCUCUAUCAGCAGGGAAGAAAAUGACAGUACCUGACCAAGAAGCCCCGGCUAACGACGAGCCAGCAGCCGCGGUAAUACGUAGUGGGCAAGCGUGAGCCGGAUUGACUGGGGGAAAAGGGAGCGGAGACGGUUUUGUAAGUCUGGAGUGAAAGCCCGGGGCCCAACCCCUGGACUGCUUUGGAAACUGUGUAACUGGAGUGCAGGAGGGGCAGGCGGCAUUCCUGGUGUAGCGGUGACAUGCGUAGAUAUCAGGAGGAACACCGGCGGCGAAGGCGGCCUGCUGGUCUGUAACUGACGUUGAGGCUCGAAAGCGUGGGGAGCAAACAGGAUUAGAUACCCCUGUAGUC